rnacentral:lncRNA from 1 species
CUGUCACUGAGUGACCGUUAUUAGUACUGCUCUGUUACUGGUCAGUGUAAGGAACUGUCAAUGAGGAAGGAUUAGUGAAGCGAUUCAGCCAACGGUCGUCAGGUGGAGAGUGAGCUACUGAUUAGAACUAAACUGUACUCACAAAGGGAAGAAAGGACUGGUAAAAGCCGAUGGAAGCAUUUCACCUUUUGUGUACUCAUUUCAACUCAGACUGGAAGAUCUCAGGUGUUACUUCUUUGGACCAAAUUGUUGUGAGC